rnacentral:sRNA from 1 species
GCUGUUCCUGGGAUUCAGAGAACACUGAGAUGUCACAAUCGUCUACGAUAAUCUAUUCUGACAUUGACAACUUUAUUCUGACAAUGAGGCUCCUGUCCAAUUUCCUUUAGUAUAUCAGUCUUAAAGGUUGCUGAUGGCUGUAGGGUUGUCACUCUACAACACUACGUUGGUUUCUCUGAGGAAACUGAAGAAGAAGUUCCCCUUGUUUGAGUUUCCUGUAUUUGGCCUCAACCCUCCCGCUUCCAAGUGUGACUGUCUGCCUUUCUCUCAGGUCCCUCCCUCACUUCCUUUGAGGGAUUGACUCAGUUUCUCCCUCUAGACUGGUGCACCGUACCAAGCGCUGUCCCUUGAUUCCAACACAGGUGGAUCACCUCUCGUACACGGCUCAGAUUUCAGAGCUUUUUCAGAGUCUAAAACAUUUGCUGGAUCUUCCGUACUGGUGCUCUGAGGUUUCAGAUUUUGCAAUCGAAGAUCCACAUACCUACCAUGAAAUCUUAUGCUCACCAGAGACUCUGGUCCCUGAUACUUGUCUCCUUCCUUUUACCUCAGCAUCAGAAUGGCUCUGGGGGCUGCACUUGAAUCCUCCUUCCCCACCUCCCAGCACGUUGUUUGAGACACUCAAUAGAUCCAAGUCUCUGAGACCACAGUUCGUUCCCGUAUCCAACUCCAGCUGUGGUGUAGCUCGCCUGGCUUCUCAGCAGGAUUUAGGACCUCUCGUUUUUCUCAGUGAUACAGGGUCCCUUAUUUUAUACCAGUAUUUCUUAAAUCUUUCCUAGUCUCCUCUGAUGGAUUUCUUUCUUUCUACUGGCUCCUCACUUGCCCUGGGGCUCCUCCUAGCCACAUACCCGCUCCCCUCAGUGUCCACUCUUAGUCUCUGCAUAGAUGGCUACGGAAUUCGCCUCUGCAGGGUGGACUUCAGACAUCACUUCCCAGAGGUUAUCCUGACUUCAUCUCAAACUCAGGAAGUAAAGCGAACUUUCCUUCUUCAAAGUGUCUGUAAUUGCAUGGGACCUUGGACCUAGGAACCUGAACCAAGAGGAAGGAAAUACCCCAGCGUUUGUCCUUUGCUGUUUUUCGUGUUGCAAUAAAGGUAGACAUGCAUAUUCAUGAGCUGGGUACAUCUCAUAGGGAGCUGAGUUCUCAACUUAUGGUAUUAUCUUAUUAUUUUUUUAAUUUUGAAAAGUUUAUCUUUCAAUUUGUUUACCAGAUAUCAGAUUUCCUUGAGGCUUUUCCCACAGCGCUAGUUUUGGCUGGCUCUCCCUCCUCCAGCUCCUCUCCCCGAUCAUCGUGUUUCCCCCAAACGACAGCUGUGUUUGCCUGAGACCCAGUGUCCAACAACUUCCUGGGAAUUUCUGAUUAUAUAAGUUGAACACCAUACUCGCUAAACUCAUUGACGUGACCACAAGAGUAACUUCAUCAAGCUGGCAAAUUAAGAAGAAUGGAGGACUUCACCUGUGGCCUUCCCAGGUCUUCAGACCUAGGGCACCGAGCUGCUGCCUGUCCAUUUCGGACACAUAACAAGGCUGGAAGAAUACGGAAGGUGGCAGGAGGUAGGUGUUCAUGUGCUCAGAGCCAGUCGCCAAUCCCUUGUUGCCUUUGGUUUUGCCAGCGGUCUGGUGUAGCAUGCCGUGAGGUCUGAUGGGUAAACAGCACAAGGAGUCAUUGGGGUGACCAUCAUCCUCCAAGUGUUUGCUAUGGAUGAAAAAGGAGUGUCUAGAAAGGGCCAGCAAUGUGGAGCCCAGGGAGAGAGCAAAGCCUCAACCUGGCUUUUCUGCUGGACCCGUGGCUGAGCGACAUUUUCUCAACUUAAUUCCUUAGGCCCCAGGAGAUCCGGAUACCAGCUCCCUCAGAACUGCAGGAAGUUCAUCGUUCUCGCUUUUCCUCAGGCACACCAUCCUAAGACGCUGCCUUUCACUGCAGAUUUUGGGAGUAAAUCAUUGUGAGAAGGAGGGACAUGGAAACACCCCCAGGAUCUGGGAAGGGGGCCAUUGCGGAGAGCGGAGAGCAGAGAGUGAAGGGAGAGCUAGCUGGGCAGAAAUAGGGAGACAGAUUCAUAUGCAUAUUGAGUGGCUUUGGAAAUGUCACUUGUCUUCCUGUGGGGAGCAUAGACAAUGCAGCUAUUGACAUGAUUAAUGAGAAUCCUGGGCAGCGCCUGGCAGAGAGGGCAUCAGGCUGAGAAGAAGAAGCAGGGACAGCUUCCUUUCUUGCUGUCAGCCCCUCUGCAGCUGUGUCUCGGGAUGAGCCAUGCCCUAGUUUUUGCAGGAGAGGGCUGUGCCAAGUGUCUGCCUCUGAUUUGUUCAAGUAACCACCUCUGAGGACUGCUGCUUGGGGUUCUCUCAAAUGCUAAGCUGGCGGAACCGUGCUCACAGGACCUGACUGAACAGAGAGAACAAGCCUUAGGCAUGCUGGGAUUCCCUCACACUCUCUGCACCCUGGCUGAUUCUCAGGUCCCCGAGGGACACACCUGAGCAUGUCGUCGUGAUAGGGGAAACUAAGCAACCUCAGUUCUGUCGUUAGCUAUACAAAUAGAGUUUGGUUUCUUGGAACCUGUGCUGAGCCCUGCUUACUCUCUGAGCAGGGCACGGGCGAGCUCUUACCACCCGUGUGCCGACUGCUUCUGCCUUUAAAUCAUCUGUCUUUGAACGUGCAAAAUAUCGUGCUGGCGAGAUGGCUUGACCUGCUGACCUGAGCUCCCGUCCCCAAGACCCAAAUAGUGGAGGAGAGAGACAACGCCUUUAAAUUGUCCCCUGAUGUUCACAUAUGGGCCAUGACACCCACAGCUCCUCCCAAAAAUGAAUGUAUAGCUAAAUAACUGUUUAAAAAAGAACUUAAAGUGCAAAAUGUUCAAUAAGGCCUCUUCUUAAGCAUCAAUGAUUUUUUUUUUCCCAGAGCUGAGGAUCGAACCCAGGGCCUGGCGCUUGCUAGGAAAGCACUCUACCACUGAGCUAAAUCCCCAACCGCAAUUUUUUUUAAUGUGGAGGUGGGCUGGUUCAGUAGUUACCAGGGCAUUUGGUCCUUCCAGAGGAUAUGAGCUUGGUUCCCUGCACUUAAUGUCUAGAGGCUCACAAAUGCCCAUGGCUCUAAUCCCAGGGCAUCUGACACCUUCUAUUGGCCUCCAUAGGCCCCUGCCCUCGUGUGUACAUACAUACACAUGUACGCUUAAUUGAAAUAAAAUCUUUCCAACAUGAACAAAAGCACAGCGACUUAUUUUGUC